rnacentral:rRNA from 1 species
CCUACGGGCGGCAGCAGUAGGGAAUAUUCCACAAUGAGCGAAAGCUUGAUGGAGCGACACAGCGUGCACGAUGAAGGUCUUCGGAUCGUAAAGCUCUGUCAUCAGGGAAGAACAUUUGCAAUACUAAACGAUUGCAGACUGACGGUACCUUCUCAGACAGCGCUGGCUAACUAGGUGCCAGCAGCCGCGGUAAUACAUAGGUCGCAAGCGUUAUCCGGAAUUACUGGGCGUAAAGCGUUCGUAGGCUGUUUGUUAAGUCCGGGGUUAAAUCCCGGGGCUCAACCCCGGCUCGCGUUGGAUACUAGCAAACUAGAGUGAGAUAGAGGUAAGCGGAAGUCCAGGUGAAGCAGUGAAAUGCGUAGAUAUAGGGAAGAACACCAGAGGCGAAGGCGGCUUACUGGGUCUAAACUGACGCUGAGGGACGAAAGCGUGGGGAGCAAACAGGAUUAGAUACCCGGGUAGUC